UGUGGAUGUACAUCAGAGAGACUAGAAGAAAGAUAAAACUGUAGCGUGGAUGUACAUCAGAGAGACUAGAAGAAAGAUAAAACUGUAGCGUGGAUGUACAUCAGAGAGACUAGAAGAAAGAUAAAACUCUAGCGUGGAUGUACCUCAGAGAGACUAGAAGAAAGAUAAAACUGUAGCGUGGAUGUACAUCAGGGAGACUAAAAGUAAGAUAAAACUGUAGCGUGGAUGUACAUCAGAGAGACUAGAAGAUAGAUAAAACUGUAGCGUGGAUGUACAUCAGAGAGACUAG
rnacentral:sRNA from 1 species